AAUCACGUGACCUCCAAUUAGCCCCGAGAUCCGGAAGCAGGAAAAAAACUGAGGAGAAACAGAAGACUUGGACAGGUUGUCGUCAAGACUUUGGAAUUUAGCGAAACAUGUUUCCUUGAUACCGCGGAGAAGGCCUCUAGUUGGAAUGACCUGAAUGGACAGAAGAUUCCCAUUUUGUCACACCUGAAGCAAGCAUGGCCAGCAAGCAGCUCACUGCUGAGGAGGGGGCGGGCAGUGGUAGUGGCACUGAUUCUCCUACUCCAUCAAGGAGACUAGAGACAACCUUUGGACCAGGUUAUUCCACAGUCACAACACUGGUAGCUGAGGGCUCACCAAACUAUCCAUGGCAGAAGUCCCAGUCAUUUGACAGUGAUAAUGAAGAAGAAAUGUCUGAUGAGCCCUUGGUGUUUACAGAGACACCCUCAUCCAAGUUGUUCUGCCUGUUGUGUGAGAGGGUCUUUAAAGAUGCUGUCAUCACAACAUGUGGGCACACUUUCUGUAGGUGGUGCGUCAACAUGAAGACAAAUGAAAAGUGUCCGGUGGAUGACAGUAAGCUGUCGGUGGUGGUAGCAAACAUCGCAGUAUCGGAGCAGAUCGGAGAACUCUUCAUCCACUGUAAAUAUGGCUGCCAGCAGGCGGACGGCGGCAAGAUGGGGGAGUGGGAGCUGGACCCCAGGGGCUGUCCCAUGACCGUCAGGGUGAACGCCAGAAAGGAGCAUGAGGCCUCCUGUGGAUACGCACCAGUGUCAUGUCCUAACAACCCCAACUGUCCCCCUCUGAAGAGAAUGGAACUUGAGGAACACUUGAAGCAGCGUGACCAUAUCAGAUGUCCUCACCACAAGUAUGGAUGCACAUUUGUGGGCACCAGUGGUGAUGUGUCCCACCACCUGACUAACAUCUGCAGGUUUGAAGGCAUUAAGGAGUUCCUGCAGCAGACGGAGGAUAAGAUGCGUGAGAUGCAGCUGCAGCUGGCGCAGAAGGACCAGGAGAUCGCCUUCCUCAGGUCCAUGCUCGGCAGGCUCUCCGAGAAGAUUGACGCACUCGAGAAGUCCGUGGAGGUCAAGCUGGAUGUGUUGGACGAGAGCUGUAAUAAGCUUCAAGAUGAAGUCAUGGAGUCAAGAAGAGACUGUGCCCUGAUCAAUGUAAGUGAUGAGCUCUCUCACAUCAAUGCAAGAUUGAACACUGGAGUUGUAGGAACUUUGGAUCCUCAACAGAUCUUCAGAUGCAAGGGAACUUACGUUGGUCAUCAGGGACCUGUGUGGACACUGUGUGUCCAUGGGGAUCUGUUGUUCAGUGGAUCCUCUGACAAGACAAUCAAGGUUUGGGACACAUGCACCAACUACAAGUGCCAGAGAACAUUGGAGGGACACACAGGCAUUGUGUUAGCCCUCUGUAUCCACAAGUAUGGACCUCCUCAUGGCAACAAGUUGUACAGUGGCUCUGCUGACUGUUCCAUCAUGGUGUGGGAUAUCCCAUCGCUGGAGCACAUGAAGACUAUCCAGGCCCACGAUAACCCAGUCUGCACCCUGGUCGCUUCCAACAACCUGCUCUUCAGCGGCUCACUCAAGGCCAUCAAAGUCUGGGACAUCCACACCCUGCAGUUGAAGAGAGAACUAACAGGACUGAACCACUGGGUGCGAGCCCUGGUGGCCUCCACACACUACCUGUACAGCGGGUCCUACCAGACCAUCAAGAUCUGGGACCUGAAGAGCCUGGAGUGUGUGCAUGUACUGCAGACAUCAGGAGGCAGUGUGUACUCCAUUGCCAUCACCAACCACCACAUACUAUGUGGCACCUACGAGAACUGCAUACAUGUGUGGGACUUGGAUACCCACGAGCAGAUCCAGACCCUGACAGGACAUGUGGGCACAGUCUACGCACUGGCUGUGGUCAACACUCACGAGGGGACCAAAGUCUUCAGUGCCUCCUACGACAGGUCACUGAGGGUGUGGAGCAUGGACAACAUGAUCUGCACACAGACGCUGCUGCGUCACCAGGGCAGCGUGGCCUGCCUGGCUGUGUCCAGGGGAAGGGUGUUCUCUGGAGCUGUCGACAGUACAGUCAAGGUGUGGCAAUAGCCACCAGGGGGCGCUGCAACACUGAGGGAACCUUGCACCAUCAAUCCAUUAUGAAGAGGGUGGACAAAUUUCACAGAGAUCUAUUUUCCUACAAACAAGAGAUGAGUAUUAGACUAUACAUGGUGUAUGUAUAUAUGGUCGCUCUAUUGAGAGGAGGCAACAUGUUAUCAUUUGUCAGCAAAUAACGUCAAGGGACGGAGGUUGCAAUUUCUUUCUUCCAGACACCACAGUCAGGGGCCUUUUAUAUACCGACAACACAGGAGCAAUCUCCAUCCUGACGGUGAUUUUAUUCCCAGUCCUUUUCUACAUGUAUUUAGGGAGAGGUGAGUCUUUUUAAGUAAGGUAGGAUGCAUCCAGAAAUAUAAAAAAGAGAUAGCCACGGGGGCAAACUCUCCUACAGCAAAUUUUCUUCGCACUCGAGUGUUGCAAUAGCUCCAAGGCAGGGGAACCAGUUCUGUUACGGCAAUCGAUCGGCAUGGGGCAUCGUUUGGGUAUAGAUAGAAGAGCUAUGGGUGGUUGAGAAAUGCAGAAAAUCGUUGCCUCAGGAAUAUUCUGGGCACGUCUGUCCAAAGCUCUGCUGAGGAAGGUAGCAGAAGGCAGUUGUACAGUAUGGUAGAGUUCUAAGCAGUGCAGGCCAUGACCAAGGUGUAUUCUUGUCUACAAUGGCUUACUGCUAUUAUGGUUUUAAAAGGUGACAAGUUGUCGACCCAACAAUAGAAUUUCUUGUAUAGGAAAGGGGCUUUUAAUUUCAAAACACGUAAAAGUAUUUAGAUUUAUUCAGACAAGCUUAUGCAGUCAUUUUAGGAAAUUAUAACUAUAUACAACAAAUGUAUAUCUAUAUUGUAAUUUUUAGGUGAGGAUUUUACUUAUGUGCCAUGGCAUGGCAUUUUAAAAGAGUGGGUACAUGUAGCUCCUUCCUGUACUGAAAAAUCAAAUGUUUCUACACUUGUACAAAUUAUAUGUUCUGAAGGAGGAUUGUGAAUGGCUUAUAUAACUAAUGCUAGGAGGACUUGGCAAAGAAGAGGUGCCCGUUCUUAGCAAUAGGGGUUUACUACUAAAAGAAAUGCCAACAUUUCUAUAUCAGUGUUAGUAAAAAGGGUAUUCACUGUAUGCUAUAUCACAUGGUGAAUACUCUACCAACCUAAAAGGUACCCGUCUGUAGAAGUAAAUGGCUAAAGCUCUAAAGUGGAAAGGAUGAAAGUGUAAAAAUAGUGAAAUUUGCAUAAACCUGUCACUAUGGGAACAGUGUAUGUACAUCAAAGCUUAUUUAGAGAAGUGCUGUCCGACUUAUAUAGCAUGCUAUAGCCAGAAAGGAAACCGUCACUUAAGAUUUGGCUGGGAUUAUUGAAGUGUAUGUACACAAAAUUAAAAGAGGGAGGGGCUGUCAGAAAUGUUUGUAUAACCUACUUCCCAGCAGUGAAAAUGCCCUUAAAUCAGGAGAAAAUGUAGCAUUAUAACAAAGGGCUCCAGCACUAACGAAUAUGUUUGUACUGUUAGUUUUACCAAAAGGCAGGGCUAUAGAGCUCACACUACUACAGUAGCUCAGAUCACCAAACUAGGUGAAGACUUCUCGUCAAUGUAAUGGCUUGGGUUGCAGCUUGCAUUUACAAAGUCUGCUUGUUAACAGGGCAGCUUCAUGUAAACAAGAAAGAAAACAGAGAGAGUUCUUUCACUAUUGGGAUAAAGUAAAGUACACCUUUGACAAUCAUAGUUUUUAGUUUAGCCACACUGAAAUAACAAUGCUUACUGUGGUAGUAAAAAGUAAUCUGUAAUGUAAAACAACAGCACCUACUGUAACAGCACAUGUAUAACUACUGUCUUUUUAUUUACCAAAUUAAUCAGACUUGAUUAAUACCAGUAGUUUGAUUUGAAAGAGUGUUAUACAUGUAAGUGUACCAAAUGGCUAGAAUGGCAAAACACUUGAAUAGUAAACCGUCUGUAUCAGUGCAUCUGCCAAUAUGUAUGGCUAUGGCAGGUAAAUUCUACAUCACACAUUGAAGAGUGGAAUGUUAAAUGACCUACAAGUUGCCAUCUUAUCCAGUUGUACAGAUUUAGUGUUGUACAUAAGCGUAUCGAGUUUUAGCCUUGACGUCGUCAGUAAGGUUUCUUUUCCAAGGGCUCCAAGUACCUGUACCUGUAACUCUCCCUCAGGUGAACCUAUGUUUUGAAAUCCCAACCAUCAGGAGAUCCUUCUGUAAAUAGUUUUUACCCAAAGCCCAAAUAGAUACGAACACAUGGACCUGUAUAUGGUCACUUUCAAAACUUCCAUCUUUGUGCAGAGAGACUUUAACUAUGUACCCUGUUAAGAAGCAUGUGUACAUUGAGAAAUUGAAAUGAUAUAGUCAUCUUGUGAAACAGAACUAUAGAAGUUCUCCCAAAAUCGAUGUCUACAGUAUUUUAGGGGUAAGGUUGCUUUUUUAUGAUUAUGUCUGCAUUGGUAAGAGGUGGGAGCGGUUGUCUCCUGUGAUGUAAAUUGAUUCACUAUCUAUUUGGCAAAGAAUACUGUGCCAAAAACAGCUAUGCCAUAAUAAAAUACCUCAUCAUAUAUU